UGUAGUCUACAUGCUUGCGAGUAUUUGGGUGUUGAAACCCUUAUGCGAAAUGAACGUGAAUGUAAAUGGGAUCCUUUACUGGUGCACCAUUGACCAGUCCUGAUUAUUUAUAUGAAGGUACUGAGUAAGAGCAAGUAUGUUGGGACCCGAAAGAUGGUGAACUAUGCCUGAAUAGGGUGAAGCCAGAGGAAACUCUGGUGGAAGCUCGUAGCGAUUCUGACGUGCAAAUCGAUCGUCAAAUUUGGGUAUAGGGGCGAAAGACUAAUCGAACCAUCUAGUAGCUGGUUCCUGCCGAAGUUUCCCUCAGGAUA
rnacentral:rRNA from 1 species